rnacentral:hammerhead_ribozyme from 1 species
AUGCAGCUAAUGAGUUCAAAAUAGGACGAAGUGACGCGCUUCCUGGAU